UACGUAGGGUGCGAGCGUUGUCCGGAAUUAUUGGGCGUAAAGAGCUUGUAGGCGGUCUGUCGCGUCUGCUGUGAAAAUCCGGGGCUCAACCCCGGACUUGCAGUGGGUACGGGCAGACUGGAGUGCGGUAGGGGAGAAUGGAAUUCCUGGUGUAGCGGUGGAAUGCGCAGAUAUCAGGAGGAACACCGAUGGCGAAGGCAGUUCUCUGGGCCGUAACUGACGCUGAGGAGCGAAAGCGUGGGGAGCGAACAGG
rnacentral:rRNA from 1 species